rnacentral:rRNA from 1 species
AGCAGCCGCGGUAAUUCCAGCUCCAAUAGCGUAUAUUAAAGUUGUUGCAGUUAAAAAGCUCGUAGUUGAAUUUCGAGAUCAAAUUGUUGGUCGUGCCUCGGUACGUACUGGCAUUAUUGAUUUCUCCCUUCUGAAGAACCACGAUGUCAUUAAUUUGGUGUCGUGGGGAAUCAGGACUGUUACUUUGAAAAAAUUAGAGUGUUUAAAGCAGGCUCACGCUUGAAUACAUUAGCAUGGAAUAAUGAAAUAGGACGUUUGAUUCUAUUUUGUUGGUUUCUAGGAUCGACGUAAUGAUUAAUAGGGAUAGUUGGGGGCAUUAGUAUUCAAUUGUCAGAGGUGAAAUUCUUGGAUUUAUUGAAGACUAACUACUGCGAAAGCAUUUGCCAAGGAUGUUUUCAUUAAUCAAGAACGAAAGUUAGGGGAUCGAAGACGAUCAGAUACCGUCGUAGU